GCAGAGGCCAGGGCCCUGAACAGUGGGUCCUUGGCCAAAGCCAACAGCAAAAGCAAAAUUGGUCAGCUCUACUAGCUUGACCAAACAUACCCUGCUGUGAUCUGCCCAGAAUCUGCCCAUAGUAGCUUACAAGCUCCACAUAAAUUCAUUAGUGGU